ACGGAAGGCAGCAGUGGGGAAUAUUGGGCAAUGGGCGAAAGCCUGACCCAGCAACGCCGCGUGAAGGAAGAAGGCCUUCGGGUUGUAAACUUCUUUUAUCAGGGACGAAGAACGUGACGGUACCUGAUGAAUAAGCCACGGCUAACUACGUGCCAGCAGCCGCGGUAAUACGUAGGUGGCGAGCGUUAUCCGGAUUUACUGGGUGUAAAGGGCGCGUAGGCGGGGAUGCAAGUCAGAUGUGAAAUCUAUGGGCUCAACCCAUAAACUGCAUUUGAAACUGUAUCUCUUGAGUGCCGGAGAGGUAGAUGGAAUUCCUAGUGUAGCGGUGAAAUGCGUAGAUAUUAGGAGGAACACCAGUGGCGAAGGCGAUCUACUGGACGAUAACUGACGCUGAGGCGCGAAAGCGUGGGGAGCAAACAGGAUUAGAUACCCUGGUA
rnacentral:rRNA from 1 species